GACAGAGGUGCCGAGCGUUAGGCGGAAUCACUGGGCUUAAAGCGUGUGUAGGCGGACUUCUAAGUACCUUGUGAAAUCCCACGGCUCAACCGUGGAACUGCUUGGUAUACUGGUUGUCUUGAGCCACUUAGGGGCAGUCGGAACAGACGGUGGAGCGGUGAAAUGCGUAGAUAUCGUCUGGAACGCCAAAGGUGAAAACAGGUUGCUGGGGGUGUGCUGACGCUGAGACACGAAAGCCAGGGGAGCAAACGGG
rnacentral:rRNA from 1 species